GACGAACGCUGGCGGCGUGCUUAACACAUGCAAGUCGAACGGAAAGGCCCUGCUUUUGUGGGGUGCUCGAGUGGCGAACGGGUGAGUUACACGUGAGUAACCUGCCCUUGACUUUGGGAUAACUUCAGGAAACUGGGGCUAAUACCGGAUAGGAGCUCCUGCUGCAUGGUGGGGGUUGGAAAGUUUCGGCGGUUGGGGAUGGACUCGCGGCUUAUCAGCUUGUUGGUGGGGUAGUGGCUUACCAAGGCUUUGACGGGUAGCCGGCCUGAGAGGGUGACCGGCCACAUUGGGACUGAGAUGCGGCCCAGACUCCUACGGGAGGCAGCAGUGGGGAAUAUUGCACAAUGGGCGGAAGCCUGAUGCAGCAACGCCGCGUGCGGGAUGACGGCCUUCGGGUUGUAAACCGCUUUCGCCUGUGACGAAGCGUGAGUGACGGUAAUGGGUAAAGAAGCACCGGCUAACUACGUGCCAGCAGCCGCGGUGAUACGUAGGGUGCGAGCGUUGUCCGGAUUUAUUGGGCGUAAAGGGCUCGUAGGUGGUUGAUCGCGUCGGAAGUGUAAUCUUGGGGCUUAACCCUGAGCGUGCUUUCGAUACGGGUUGACUUGAGGAAGGUAGGGGAGAAUGGAAUUCCUGGUGGAGCGGUGGAAUGCGCAGAUAUCAGGAGGAACACCAGUGGCGAAGGCGGUUCUCUGGGCCUUUCCUGACGCUGAGGAGCGAAAGCGUGGGGAGCGAACAGGCUUAGAUACCCUGGUAGUCCACGCUGUAAACGGUGGGUACUAGGUGUGGGGUCCAUUCCACGGGUUCCGUGCCGUAGCUAACGCUUUAAGUACCCCGCCUGGGGAGUACGGCCGCAAGGCUAAAACUCAAAGGAAUUGACGGGGCCCCGCACAAGCGGCGGAGCAUGCGGAUUAAUUCGAUGCAACGCGUAGAACCUUACCUGGGUUUGACAUGGAUCGGGGGUGCUCAGAGAUGGGUGUGCCUCUUUUGGGGUCGGUUCACAGGUGGUGCAUGGCUGUCGUCAGCUCGUGUCGUGAGAUGUUGGGUUAAGUCCCGCAACGAGCGCAACCCUUGUUCACUGUUGCCAGCACGUUAUGGUGGGGACUCAGUGGAGACCGCCGGGGUCAACUCGGUGGAAGGUGGGGAUGACGUCAAGUCAUCAUGCCCCUUAUGUCCAGGGCUUCACGCAUGCUACAGUGGCUGGUACAGAGAGUGGCGAGCCUGUGAGGGUGAGCGAAUCUCGGAAAGCCGGUCUCAGUUCGGAUUGGGGUCUGCAACUCGACCUCAUGAAGUCGGAGUCGCUAGUAAUCGCAGAUCAGCAACGCUGCGGUGAAUACGUUCCCGGG
rnacentral:rRNA from 1 species